AAAUUGAAGAGUUUGAUCAUGGCUCAGAUUGAACGCUGGCGGCAGGCCUAACACAUGCAAGUCGAACGGUAACAGGAAGCAGCUUGCUGCUUUGCUGACGAGUGGCGGACGGGUGAGUAAUGUCUGGGAAACUGCCUGAUGGAGGGGGAUAACUACUGGAAACGGUGGCUAAUACCGCAUAACGUCGCAAGACCAAAGAGGGGGACCUUCGGGCCUCUUGCCAUCAGAUGUGCCCAGAUGGGAUUAGCUAGUUGGUGAGGUAACGGCUCACCAAGGCGACGAUCCCUAGCUGGUCUGAGAGGAUGACCAGCCACACUGGAACUGAGACACGGUCCAGACUCCUACGGGAGGCAGCAGUGGGGAAUAUUGCACAAUGGGCGCAAGCCUGAUGCAGCCAUGCCGCGUGUAUGAAGAAGGCCUUCGGGUUGUAAAGUACUUUCAGCGGGGAGGAAGGUGUUGUGGUUAAUAACCGCAGCAAUUGACGUUACCCGCAGAAGAAGCACCGGCUAACUCCGUGCCAGCAGCCGCGGUAAUACGGAGGGUGCAAGCGUUAAUCGGAAUUACUGGGCGUAAAGCGCACGCAGGCGGUCUGUCAAGUCGGAUGUGAAAUCCCCGGGCUCAACCUGGGAACUGCAUUCGAAACUGGCAGGCUUGAGUCUUGUAGAGGGGGGUAGAAUUCCAGGUGUAGCGGUGAAAUGCGUAGAGAUCUGGAGGAAUACCGGUGGCGAAGGCGGCCCCCUGGACAAAGACUGACGCUCAGGUGCGAAAGCGUGGGGAGCAAACAGGAUUAGAUACCCUGGUAGUCCACGCCGUAAACGAUGUCUACUUGGAGGUUGUGCCCUUGAGGCGUGGCUUCCGGAGCUAACGCGUUAAGUAGACCGCCUGGGGAGUACGGCCGCAAGGUUAAAACUCAAAUGAAUUGACGGGGGCCCGCACAAGCGGUGGAGCAUGUGGUUUAAUUCGAUGCAACGCGAAGAACCUUACCUGGUCUUGACAUCCACGGAAGUUUUCAGAGAUGAGAAUGUGCCUUCGGGAACCGUGAGACAGGUGCUGCAUGGCUGUCGUCAGCUCGUGUUGUGAAAUGUUGGGUUAAGUCCCGCAACGAGCGCAACCCUUAUCCUUUGUUGCCAGCGGUUAGGCCGGGAACUCAAAGGAGACUGCCAGUGAUAAACUGGAGGAAGGUGGGGAUGACGUCAAGUCAUCAUGGCCCUUACGACCAGGGCUACACACGUGCUACAAUGGCGCAUACAAAGAGAAGCGACCUCGCGAGAGCAAGCGGACCUCAUAAAGUGCGUCGUAGUCCGGAUUGGAGUCUGCAACUCGACUCCAUGAAGUCGGAAUCGCUAGUAAUCGUGGAUCAGAAUGCCACGGUGAAUACGUUCCCGGGCCUUGUACACACCGCCCGUCACACCAUGGGAGUGGGUUGCAAAAGAAGUAGGUAGCUUAACCUUCGGGAGGGCGCUUACCACUUUGUGAUUCAUGACUGGGGUGAAGUCGUAACAAGGUAACCGUAGGGGAACCUGCGGUUGGAUCACCUCCUUA
rnacentral:rRNA from 43 species